rnacentral:rRNA from 1 species
AGGGAAGUCGGCAAAACGGAUCCGUAACCUUGGGAUAAGGAUUGGCUCUGAGGACUGAGCCGGUCGGGCUGGGGACCUGAAGCAGGAACGGCACUGCACCGGGACUGGGCGGGGCUCGCCGUUCACGCGGCGCGGCCAAGCCCGGACCAGCGUCGGGACCUUCCUGUGGAAAGCCUCAGCUGCGCGGCGUCUGAGGGCUUCGUGCCCAAAGUGCUAUGCUUCGGCCGGCAAAAAACAGUCAACUCAGAACUGGCAUGGACCGGGGGAAUCCGACUGUCUAAUUAAAACAAAGCAUUGCGAUGGCCGCUGGUCGGUGUUGACGCAAUGUGAUUUCUGCCCAGUGCUCUGAAUGUCAACGUGAAGAGAUUCAUCAAAGCGCGGGUAAACGGCGGGAGUAACUAUGACUCUCGGGACGGGAGUAGCUUGUGUGCUUGGCUGAGAUUUACUCGGACUC